AUGAACGCUGGCGGCGUGCCUCAUACCUGCAAGUCGCGCGCACAGACGAGGAGCUUGCUCCUCUGACGUUAGCGGCGGACGGGUGAGUAACACGUGGAUAACCUACCUAUAAGACUGGGAUAACUUCGGGAAACCGGAGCUAAUACCGGAUAAUAUAUUGAACCGCAUGGUUCAAUAGUGAAAGACGGUUUUGCUGUCACUUAUAGAUGGAUCCGCGCCGCAUUAGCUAGUUGGUAAGGUAACGGCUUACCAAGGCAACGAUGCGUAGCCGACCUGAGAGGGUGAUCGGCCACACUGGAACUGAGACACGGUCCAGACUCCUACGGGAGGCAGCAGUAGGGAAUCUUCCGCAAUGGGCGAAAGCCUGACGGAGCAACGCCGCGUGAGUGAUGAAGGUCUGCGGAUCGUAAAACUCUGUUAUUAGGGAAGAACAAAUGUGUAAGUAACUAUGCACGUCUUGACGGUACCUAAGCAGGAAGCCACGGCUAACUACGU
rnacentral:rRNA from 1 species